rnacentral:lncRNA from 1 species
GGGCCGCACAGUUUUAAGAACACAUUACUUUUGGUGCCAGAUCAGGAGCUGAGAGAUUGCCUAAGAGGCUGAACUGUCAUGGGUUGCUGUGAGUAGUCUUGGCAUUUCUUUGGCAAUACAGUUCUUUUAGCAGGUUUCUCAUGUUUUUGCUUCAGGGAGUUAUAUGGGCUAAUAAUCUUAAGCCAAAAUCUUGUCUGGAUACAAUCUUUGGUCCUGAUAAUACCUUCUCCUAGCCAUGUCCAACGUUAUCUGUAAAAAAAUCAUCUUAUUAAAAAAGAUCUAAUAUGGAAAAAAUACAAAAUAUUUUACUGUUUGGGGUGACAUGUACCAUCAUUGCAAUGAAUGACAGAGCAUUUGUUAUAUUAUCCUCUAUGCUUUGCUGUGUAUUUUAUGGGCAAGUUGGACAGAGCCUAUGACCCAUGGGAAAAAAUUCGGCAAAGUGAUUAGUCUGGCACAACAAGCAAGCAGCUGGCAGCCAAGAAGUUGUGCCCUCUGCUCUGCCUAUCUAAAUCCUGGUUAUCUUUUCAGGCUCUGCUGAAGUCCCACUCCUCAAGGAAGCCU